rnacentral:rRNA from 1 species
CGGGAGGCAGCAGUGGGGAAUCUUCCGCAAUGGGCGAAAGCCUGACGGAGCGACGCCGCGUGAGCGAAGAAGGCCUUCGGGUCGUAAAGCUCGAUAGUGUGGGAAGAAGGAAUGACGGUACCACACGAA